UACAAUAAAUAUAUUGCUUUCUCUGCUGAAUAUAUUUUCGUUUUUUCUGCAGAUUAGUUGAACGAAUUUUAAAAAUUUAGAAUAAACUGACUGUAUAAAAGGUAAAGUAAAUAAAAAUUGUUGAAGGGUGAACAAAAUAAUAGUUGUAUUAUUUAUUGCUUUCGAUUAAAACCGCAACGUUACGAAAUUAUUAAAAUAUGGAGGACUUAAAAAAGUUAUUGGAACAAAAUGAAGACUAUUUAUUGAGCAGCUCGAGUGAAAAAGAGACAGACGAUGAAUCAUCAUUAUCCGCAUGGGAUUUAAAAAAGUACAGUGAUGACGAUUCAUUUUCCAAAAAUUACGUAUUGGAAAUAAAAUGUUCAAAUUCCAUAACCUCAAACAAAAGAAAUGGUGAAAAAAGAUUGCCUACAAGAAGACCUGAUCCAAACGUCUACAAUCGCAAUGCUUUGUUAGCAAGAGAAAAUAGACGAAAGAAGAAGGCGUAUUUGGAAACUAUAGAGAAGGAGUUACAAUUUGCUCGUAAAGCUAAUAAUGCUUUAGUAAAAGCUCUUAAACGACAGCUAAAAAUAGCUCAACGGCUUGAAAAAGAAAAGAAAUAUUAUGAAGGGUUGUUUGCUAAUAGAUCUGAUAUAUUAAACCUAGUAAAUGCAUUAAAUUUUCGUUGCAUUCCUGUAUCGAGCGAUUCUCCUAAUUCCACCUUUAGUAGCAAUGCAGAUUUAAUUCAGAACGUCAUGAGAAGUACAACGAGCCUUAGCAGUAAUUUAAAUGAUGCCGACGCGCUAUCAAUACAGUUUGAUAGUCCAUCUGAUGAUUUCGAUAGUGACAAAGACAAUUUGCCCUCAACCUCUACAACAUGGGAUGACAUAUGGGGUGUAAAUGGUGUUCAUAUUGAUAAUUUAAUUUCACCCGAAUCAACUCUUAUGCAGGAUAAAAGUUGUAUACAAAGCAUUAACGAUGACCACUGUUAUGUGAUGAGUUCUUCGUUGGGCAGUUUCCAAUCACCUAAAAAACAUAGUGAAAAUAGUGAUUAUGUCGAUGUUGAAGGAGAUUCUUCAGAAAUUGGAAUAUUCUGUUCUAGUAAUUGGGACAAAUCGUGUCGAACACCGCCUCUUCAGCUUUUAAGUGACCAGACGUUUUAAACAGUUUUUUUUUGUAAAAAUUCAAAUUUGGCCUAUUUUGGAUCAUCCACGAUGCUGCGAAUAGUGCUUGACGCUGGCGUAAAGCUCGCACAAUAUGUAGCAUCUAGUAGUCAAGCAAGUUUUUCUGUCAUGGAACAAAAUCGUUACAACUUUUGCAGCAAAAAUAUGUAUCGUUUCAGUUGAACAAAUAAUGAAAGCAAGAAAAUUUAAUUACGAUAUUUGAUAUCGAUCAACAUAUUUAUAAAAUUUAAAUAGUAAUUUUGUCAACAAAUUUUCUUGCAAUCAUCAUUUGUUUCGUGUAUAUAUUAUCAUAUGUACAAAUCCAUCAAAUGCAGUUUACUUACUGUACAUAUGAUAAUUGGUAAAAUGUUUAAAAAUAAACGCGAGAUAAUGCGUUCAUGAAUUUUGUUUAAAAUCAAACUAAUCAAUUCUUUUUUUAUUUGAGUAUUACUAUUGAGUUACAGAUUUGAAGAAGUAAUCCUCCUACGAAAUAUCUGCAAAGACUAGAUCAAUAAAUGCAACCAAUUGUGGUUUUUGGUAUUUGUUGAAAUGUUGAUGUAACCGGCUUGGAAAAUAAUACGGUAUGUACCUCUACUGCUACUCCCACUUUAUCAUUAUAGUGUUAUUUAAUAUAAAUAUAGUUUAAGAAAGCUUAUUCUUAAAUGUAUUAUACACAUUCAUAUAUUAUAAAAGGAUAAAACGUAAUUUAAACACAUACAUACAUAUAUUUUAAACAAAUUGUUGUUUUAUAAUAAAAGUUUGUUAGUAUAAUUUAUAAAAAA
rnacentral:misc_RNA from 1 species